UACGUAGGGUGCGAGCGUUAAUCGGAAUUACUGGGCGUAAAGCGUGCGCAGGCGGUUAUGUAAGACAGGCGUGAAAUCCCCGAGCUUAACUUGGGAAUUGCGCUUGUGACUGCAUAGCUAGAGUGUGUCAGAGGGGGGUAGAAUUCCACGUGUAGCAGUGAAAUGCGUAGAGAUGUGGAGGAAUACCAAUGGCGAAGGCAGCCCCCUGGGAUAACACUGACGCUCAUGCACGAAAGCGUGGGGAG
rnacentral:rRNA from 1 species